UACGAAGGGGGCUAGCGUUGUUCGGAAUCACUGGGCGUAAAGGGUGCGUAGGCGGGUCUUUAAGUCAGGGGUGAAAUCCUGGAGCUCAACUCCAGAACUGCCUUUGAUACUGAAGAUCUUGAGUUCGGGAGAGGUGAGUGGAACUGCGAGUGUAGAGGUGAAAUUCGUAGAUAUUCGCAAGAACACCAGUGGCGAAGGCGGCUCACUGGCCCGAUACUGACGCUGAGGCACGAAAGCGUGGGGAGCAAACAGA
rnacentral:rRNA from 1 species